rnacentral:tRNA from 1 species
UGCGAGAUGGCUGAGUUUUAGGCGAAAGAUUGUAAUUCUUUUAACGGAGGUUUCUUCUCUCGUAA